AAAAAUGUUAACUCAACCACACUUUGGAAGAUCUAAGGCUCUGGUCAAGAAAAAGAAGGAGGCAGAUAUCAGGAAAGCAUGAAGCAGACAAUGAAUGUGCUUAUAUCUAUCUCCAAAACUAAUUUUUGAUGGAACAGAUAUUCCCCACAUAGGCCACACUAUCACCAAUGGAUCAAGACAUAGAAACUUUUGUCAUCUCUGUUACAACUAGGAGUGUUCACAUAAAUUGAUGAGGAGCACAUGAGCCUGGAAGCCCAGUUCCAGCAGCAACAUCUAGAGUUUCCAGCAAGUGGUCCCUCAUGAUGCAGAGAAAGUGUAGAAGAUCAACAAUCUUUCCUCAUCGAUGGAACAUUCUCCUAAUGAGCAAAGUGUAUCAAAUGACAUUGUCUCAGAAUACCAUGCUAAAACAGUGCCAUCUGCUGAAUAAUUCCAAGGUCAGAGCACUAUAGUCUCUACACCUGUCGGAAUGCCAUAUCAUGAAACCCAAUGUAUAUUCAAUGUAAUACCUUCUUCUACUGGGACCAUCGACCAGACAGGAAUUCUUUUGUAACCACUGUCAAUGGGAUUGAAGUUAUCAUUUAUUAAUUGUAAAUGUAUUGAUGUUGGAAAGAAUAGCAGCCGUUACUUAACCUCAACUACAAACCACAGCCAACUGGCUUAUUCUUUCUUCA